GUAGUCGUUGACUUUGUCUCUCGUCCCCGAUCCGGUGCCCUUGGUAUAGCGGCCAAGGAACCUCGCCUCUCCAGAAAACCCAUCCAAGAAUCUUGACAUCCAGAAGAAGAAAAGGUGAUCAAGUGUUUGAUUUUUAGUCGAGUUAUUUGUUACUUGUUGUACUCCCUCGUGAACAACUCGGGAGCGCGGUGCAGAUUGCGGUGCAAAUGUCAGGUAGGAAGGAAACAGUUCAUGAUUUGGCGAAGUUCAUCGACAAAGGCGUCCAGGUCAAGUUAACUGGGGGAAGACAAGAAAGCUGCUUGUGUACCUCGAUAAGGACCAUUAGAAGUAAACCUGGUAGGCAUAUGUUGAAGUGAAAAGGUUAUGAUCAGCUGCUAAACUUGGUGCUAGACAAAGCGACAGAGUUCCUGAGAGAUCCUGAUGAUCCACUGAAGACAACUGAUCAAACCAGGCGCCUUGGUCUAAUCAUAUGUAGGGGGCCUGCUGUAAUGUUGGACUCGCCUGACAGAUGGAACAGAUGAAAUUGCAAACCCCUUUAUCCAACCGGAUGGAGCCUAGGUAGAUUUCGUACUUGUUAAUCAAAUGAUCUCCGUAUCUUUUAUUAGCAGUUUGCCGCUUUGUUAUAAAAAAAAUUUAUUUGAGAAAAAAAUCAUUUUAGUGGCGCUUCAAAUUGUCUGGAUAUUAAUCUGAUCAUUACCCCCACUGGUUUCAAGUAUUUCACACCUCUAGUCUGCUCUGUUUUGAAUUACCUGGAUGUGUUUCACCAUAUUUUGACAUUGUGUUUAGAGCUGUAAAACUCCCCCCUAGUAAAUUCAGAUUAGUCUUC